AUUUUUGUCUUGAUUGAAAUGAUUUUUUUUUUAAAGUUGGUGGUUUACCACCUCUAAAAAAGUUUUAAAUCACUACACCCAUGUUAUUUCUUUUGGAAACAUUAGACACCUUCAUCCAAGUGGGUCUCUGAAGAUUAUGUCGCUGACUAUCUUAUAUUGUACUCAACAGUUUUUCUGCGACGAGAGUAUCAGCAGAUUUUGCCGCUUAGUUUUGCACAUUGUCCUUUUGUCAUCUAUCAUUAGGCCGGUGCUUAUUUGUAAAGGGUAGACGCUGAAUUAGGCAUCUCUCCUGUAGAAAUAGGCACGGCUGCUUCAGAAAAAUCCAGUUUAUUUUUCUAAGCACCUCCCUAAGCACCUAGCAUUGUACAAGGUCCUAGUAUUUCCCAAAAUGUUAUCAAAGGAGCAUUUCACAAAUUUUCAGUCACAUUGCACUAAAUCUGUUUUUUGGAGAGUACACCAAAAAUUCCUUGGUCACAAAAAUACAUCUAGAUGCAAUUGUCUGCAGCAAGGCAAAGAAGUAGGCCCUUGUGGAGAAAAUGGAAAAGGAAGGGAAUAAAACACUUUGGAGUGAUGCUUUUCUAAACUAUCAAUUCAUUUUGGCAUACUUGAUUUGAUGUUUACUUGCAGAAAUUUAUGGUCUGGCUUUCUGAUAUUCUUGUCCUGCUGUUCUCUAAGUAUUAUUUUUGAGUUAUCUAGUGGAGACAAACAUGCGGCACUGUCCACGUGGAAGCCUCUUCACCCUCAAAUGCUCGUCUUUGCAGCGUUGGUUGUUUAGAAGGAUUACUUGAAGAAUGGGCCAAAUCUGCAUAUGGCUAGCGUAUACCCAUUUGCAUGGAAGGAAAAGCAAUACUGAGCACCUGCCAAAGCCAAAAGAUGUUCUUAGACCUACAACGUACAGUACAAGUUUUGUUUGGUAUGCUGACAGGAUAGCAGGCAGAAGCACUUGGACAAGUUGCGAUUGGAGAUUGUGGAGUCCAAGUCGAUGAAGAGAAGAUGGCGCAUACAGGGUCCAAGAGUCUAGGGAAAAGGGAGGACAACAUUAGGGCAAAUAAAUUUGGAAAUCCCAUUGUUUAUUAUUCUUGCAGGAAACCAAUUGUAUUAGGGAAGGUCUAGCUAAGGAGCCUAAUUGUGUUGGGAAAGGUCAAAGACUUAAGCAUCCACUUUAUAAGGAUGCGAUGCAUGUAUCUUCUAUUAAAUCAGUGAAGAAGAAAAGGCUCCCCCAUUUGCUAUC